AGAGAAAAUCUGGAUUGAGAACUCACAACCUAUCGGUUGUCACAGGCUGCACAUGCGGAGGGUCUGUAGCUCAGUCGGUUAGAGCAUCGUCUUGAUAAGGCGAGGGUCGUUGGUUCGAUUCCAACCAGACCCACCAGUGUAUCGACGGCGGGCCACUGUGCGCGGAGGCAACGAUUGGAUCUUUUCGGCAAAGAGUCGGGAGGGUCGUCGCCGAACAGCGGGGGAUUAGCUCAGCUGGGAGAGCACCUGCUUUGCAAGCAGGGGGUCGUCGGUUCGAUCCCGUCAUCCUCCACCAACCGUCAAUCGUGAGCUGUCAGGCCUGCUGGGUCGAUGACCCUGCAGGCCUGACUCCUUACCGGGUCUGUGCUCUUUAACAAAAUGGAAGA
rnacentral:tRNA from 1 species